AACAAAAUUUGCUUGGAUGCUUUCCUGUGCAAACUGAUCACGGGAACCUGUUUUAGUAGAGGUUUGGACUAGAUGAUCUCCAGAGGUCCCUUUCAACCCCUCCAGCUCUGAUUCUGUCUCAUUGUCAACACUAUUAUCAACAUCAACGUGUCAUCUUCAAUCCGUGGGUCCUACUGGUGACCUGGGCAAGAGUGUGGGUGAGCAGGAUAUCACAGAUGCCCUGCUCCAGCCCCUCAGAGGUGACACCAUGGUGAUUAAGGCACAGAAGAAGGCAAGAGAGCUGCUUGAGGAGUGAUGGGGCCAUCAUGGAGUCCAGGAGUUUGGGCCCAAACUGCACACAGUGCUCAAGGUAAUGCUGCACCAUUGCAGAAGAGUUAUCAGCCUGGAUUCACUAAGGGGAAGUCAUGUUUGCCCUACGAUGCUUUUAUGAUGAAAUCUCCAGCCUCCUCCAAUGGAUGACAUGGGUUCUGUGAAUAUUGUCUUUCAGGCUGGAGACAUGGGCAGACAAAAAUCUCAUGAAGUUCACCAAGGAGAAAUGCAUAGUCCUGAACCUGAGAAGGAAAAAUCCCAGCACAUGAGGACAUGCAAGGGCACCCAACUGGAAGCAGAUGGCAGAAAAGAAUCAAAGGAGUCCUGGUGGACACCAAGUUAGUCAUGAGUUAGCAAUGUGCCUUUCUUGCUAAGAAGGCCAAUGACCUUAUUGGCUUUAUCAGGCAAAGUAUCACCAGCAGAUCAAGAGAGUUGAACCUUUCCUUCUCCACAGCAUUGGUGAGGCUGCAUCUGGUGUUCCGGGUCCACUUCUUGGCCCCCCCAGUACAAGAGAGACCUGGCCUCCAAGAUGAUGAAAGAAUUGGAACACCUCUCCUAUGAGGAGAAGCUGGGGGAAUCGGGACUGCCCAGGGGGCAUCUUACCAAUGUGUGUAAAUACCUAAAAGGAUAGUGGAAAGAGGAUGGAGCCAGGAUAUUUUUAGAGGUGCACCAGGCCACAACAGGAGGCAAUGGACACAGACUGGAACAAAAUAUUCUGUCUAAACAUCAGGAAGUAUUUCUUUACUGUGCAGGUGAGGGAGCACUAAAACAGGCUGCCCAGAGAGGCUGUGGAGCAGUGUUAUAGUCAUUAGUCUUAGGCAUUAAGGUGGGUUUACAUGGUAUUGCUGUCCAAGAGGUCCUCCAACGCCUCCUAGUGGAUAAACUACAAAAGGUGAAAGCUAGGAGAGAACCUCAGCUGAAGUAAAUGCAAUAGAAAAGAGACAACCUGCCUCUAUGCAAAGGGAAAGAGCAAAAUGAGGAAACUGGGGAGCACUGUCAGUCAAUGCUGAAUGUAAGAGAUGAUGGAAAAUGUUUACAUAAAUGCCUGUCUCCAAGUUACUUAAAUGGGCUGGCAACUUCUGUUGUACAGCAGCGGUACGUGGUUCCUUCAUUAUCUCUUCACAGUCCUGUGGGAUCUGCACCAGAGAAUGGGAGUAACACUGGGUGACUUAAAGUAAAGGCAGGAGAGCCAGAGAGUGUGAAAGAGAGGAUCCUGAAGAGAAAUCCAAACCUACAGUAUCUCUCACCCCCACUACAGUGCUCAUACUGCACUGGCUAAAUAGGUGAAAACAUUAAAAUUAUCAGAGGAGGUCGCUGUUGUGCAACCUGUGGACCACAUCCUCCUAGGUGACCUCUGUGCAGAACUUGCAAACACUCUGUGCACGAGGUCACAACACACCUGUAUUCCUUUGGGUCAGGGUUCUGCAGGGAAGGAAACAAGGAUCUGCUCAGGAAAAAAGUCUGGAGGGCAUCAGAUGGAAAGGUGGGAGAAAAACAGCCACCACUGAAGUACUAAAAGAAAUCCAGCAGGUACCCAAAUGUGAGAAUUAAACAGGAGUUACAUGCUGUGCAAAGGACAUUGGAGAUUCGGAAGGUACAAUGUUGUAGGUUCUAAUAUAACAUCUCAACCACUCUAUAACCCGGUAAAAAGAAAUGCAGUCCAGGAGUGGACCCCACAACACAGAGACUCAAGACUACAUCCACAAGUGUGGGCACCUCACAACGACUGCAUGUUGGCCUACUCAAAUCAUGGUGGUGCUCAAGAUGUUAUGCAUCUUCACCAGUUCUGAAAGGACACAGUACAAGCUCUCCUGGGCUCCAUGUAAUUUCCUUGGAUAUAUGUUAUUUUUUUAAAUCUUAUAUCACCAUCUCUUGCUCAGCUCAUGUGUAGCCACAUCUUGAGAAAGAGAUUCUUGGACAUCUAUGCCAAUUUUGCAAACCAAUAUUGCAUGCCAAUUUUGCUAUUACAGCGUAUUCAAUUCAAACACGUUAUACAGACAAGGGGACACAUCCACUUCUGUGUUAAGAGCCGGAUAGAGUGGACAGAGUGGAAUAGAGUGUGAAGAGCUGCCUCUGAGAAACAGCCACGAUCAGGUUGAGAGCUGGUAGGUGAAAAUCAGGGACCAGACCAAUAAAGGACAUCUGGUGGUCAGGGUCUACUACAGCUGCCUGAUCAGGGGAGCCUGUGGAUGAGGGUUUAUUGCUUCAGCUGCAGGAAGUGUUGUGCCUGCAGGCCCUCAUCCUGAUGGGGGAUUUCAAGCACUUCAGUGGCAUGGCUGGGCAAAGACCUGCUGGUCAAACUGUGGGAUAAGGACAUGGCAGUGGAAACAAGGACAUGUCUCCUAGGAAGAAUACAGGCAUGCUGUCUGGAUGUGCAGAGAUGAGGUCAGGAAAGGCAAGUCAUAGAUGGAACUGUACUUGGUAAGGGAUGUGAAAAACAAGAAGGAAUUCUACAGAUACAUUAAUAAGAAGGGACUGGCCCUGGCACAGGCUGCCCAGAGAAGUUGUGGAUGCCCCAUCCCUUGAGACCUUCAAGGUUGGAUGGGGCCCUGGGAAGCCUGGUCUAUUGCAUGGCAACCCUGCCAGUGGCAGGGGAUUGGAACUGGAUCACAUUUUAGGUCCCUUCCAACCCAAGCUGUUCUGUGAUUCCAUAGCUGUGAUAUUUGUGAGGAAAUGAGAACUUCCCAGCUUUAAGAAGAGAAGAAAUGAGAUUUCAGCAUGGCUUGGCAACCUUUGUACUCUUGUUCACUAUACCACUUUUCUCACCAGACUGCAACACAGGCCAGUAGAUGCAAUACCCAGUCUCCCACAAUCAGCAGCAGAGUUUGUUAUUCACAGUCCUGAUGGCCUCUAAAUAGAUCCCUAAUUUUUUCCUCCUUUCUGCACAAUGAAAUUGUUAAAAUGGAAGAGUUAUACUCCAGUGAAAGGAAUGCAGGGGC
ensembl:lncRNA